AGUUGCAGGCCAUGGUUGACCAGGCCAUNNCCAUGUAAAACAGGGUCAAAAACAAAAAAGCCAACUCAAAUGAGAUGGCCUGGGCUCACGCUUAAGUGAGCCUCGCUGCCGGACGUCUCUCUGCAACGUCCGGUGAGCGUCAAAACGCAGGGUGCUGUUCCGGCGUCGCGCUUCGUACGCCGGGGCAAAAGACCACACGGAGCUUUGGAUCGGUUUUGUCGUCCUGAACUGAGGCCGAUCCGAGACAAAAUCAGGGCUAAGCCUGUAGCGGCU
rnacentral:tmRNA from 1 species